rnacentral:misc_RNA from 1 species
GAUGAAGAACGUAGCGAAAUGCGAUAAGUAAUGUGAAUUGCAGAAUUCAGUGAAUCAUCGAAUCCUUGAACGCACAUUGCGCCCCCUGGUAUUCCGGGGGGCAUGCCUGUCCGAGCGUCAUUACAACCCUCAAGCUCAGCUUGGUGUUGGGCCCCGCCGCCCCGGCGGGCCCUAAAGUCAGUGGCGGUGCCGUCCGGCUCCGAGCGUAGUAAUUCUUCUCGCUCUGGAGGUCCGGUCGUGUGCUCGCCAGCAACCCCCAAUUUUUUUCAGGUUGACCUCGGAUCAGGUAGGGAUACCCGCUGAACUUAAGCAUAUCAAUAAGCGGAGGA